AGGGGCGGGGCGCGGCCGCGGAAGCUCCGCGAGCCGCGUUUGAAGGCACCGCGGCGGCGGCUGCGGCCUGCGGCGGGGGUUGGGGAGGGCCGGAGGGAGGGAAGGGGGAAGGUCGGGUCCGCACGGCUGGAGCUGAGGGCGGGAUGGCGGCGUUGUGAGAGCUCGCACGCACGGAGCAGGCUGGAUGCCCACAGGCAGCAGGACGCUGUCACAGGCUGCCCGGGCACUCGGCAGGGGCACAGGACUGUUCUCCCUCCACACACAGGUCUCCUUGCCAAGACCCUUCCUUUGCUGCAUUGGGCUCCCUGGGGCCUGCCUCCGUUACUGGUACCAGUUGCUGUUACAGCCUGUAUCUCUCUGGGCCGCAGGCAGAAACCAGGGUGGUGGUGCUGGGGGUUCCCAUUUCUCCCUGCUUUUGAACACUUGGCUUCGCCAGGCCUGCACAGCUGUAGGGGACAUGGCAGAGCAGAGGUACUGCGUAGACUAUGCCAAGCGUGGCACAGCAGGCUGCAAGAAGUGCAAGGAGAAGAUCGUGAAGGGAAUGGUGCGCAUUGGAAAGAUCGUUCCUAAUCCUUUCACGGAGUCUGGCGGGGACAUGAAGGAGUGGUACCAUGUGAAGUGCAUGUUUGAGAAGCUGGAUAAGGCCCGGGCCACCACCAAGAAAAUCGAAGACAUCACGGACUUGGAAGGAUGGGAAGAGCUACAAGAUGCGGAGAAAGACUUAAUCAACAAGCACAUCUCAGAAGCUAAUACCAAGGCUGGAAGUACACCGAAGAAAAAAGUGAUAGUCCAAGCUAAGCUCACUGCCACAGGACAGCUAACUACAAAAGAUCCAUUAGCUCUCAUCAAUCCAUCACCGAAGAAGUUCUCUGGCUUCACAGCCAAGCCAAAGAAUUCAGACGAUAUCUCUGCAAACUCUUCCCACAAGUCCAGCCUAUCUGCAAAAAAAUGUGAUCCAAAGCACAAAGACUGCUUGCUGCGUGAGUUCAGGAAGCUCUGUGCCAUGGUAGCCGAAAAGCCCAGCUAUAAUGUGAAAACACAGAUCAUCCAGGAUUUUCUGAAGAAGGGAUCUGGAGGAGAUGGCUUUCAUGGUGAUGUGUACCUGACCAUUAAGCUGCUGUUACCAGGCGUCAUUAAGAUUGUUUACAACCUGAACGAUAAGCAGAUUGUAAAGCUCUUCAGUAGGAUUUUUAACUGCAACCAAGAAGAAAUGGUCCGUGACCUGGAGCAGGGAGAUGUUUCCGAGACCAUACGCCUCUUCUUUGAACAGAGCAAGUGUUGUCCUCCAGCAGCCAAAAGCCUCCUGACCAUCCAAGAGGUAGAUGAAUUCCUCAUCCAGCUAUCGAAGCUCACUAAGGAAGAUGACCAGCAAAGUGUGCUGCAGCAUAUCACUCGCAGAUGUACGGGCAACGACCUGAAAUGCAUCAUCAGGCUAAUUAAGCAUGACUUGAAAAUGAAUGCUGGAGCAAAGCAUGUGUUGGAUGCUUUGGAUCCCAACGCUUACGAGGCGUUCAAAGCUUCACGCAACCUCCAGGAUGUGGUAGAGCGAGUGCUGAAGAACCAGCAGGAGGCUGAGAAGAUGCCAGGUCUGAAGCGGACCCUCAGCGUGCAGGCCUCCCUGAUGACCCCCGUGCAGCCCAUGCUGGCUGAAGCCUGCAAGUCCAUUGAGUAUGCCAUGAAGAAGUGCCCGAAUGGCAUGUAUGCAGAGAUCAAAUACGAUGGUGAGCGGGUGCAGGUCCAUAAGAAUGGAGAUCAUUUCAGCUACUUCAGCAGAAGCCUCAAGCCUGUCCUCCCACAUAAAGUGGCCCAUUUUAAGGACUUCAUCCCUCAGGCUUUCCCUGGUGGGCAAAGUAUGAUCCUGGAUUCAGAAGUUCUUCUGAUUGACAACAAAACUGGCAAGCCACUUCCUUUUGGGACUCUUGGCGUGCACAAGAAAGCUGCUUUCCAAGAUGCCAACGUUUGUUUGUUUGUGUUUGACUGCAUCUACUUCAAUGAUGUCAGCCUGAUGGACAGGCCUCUGUGUGAGCGUCGCAAGUUCCUCCACGAUAACAUGGUUGAGAUCCCCAACCGGAUCCUCUUCUCGGAGAUGAAGCACGUCACGAAAUCUUCAGAUCUGGCAGAUAUGAUCACCCGAGUCAUCCGUGAGGGACUGGAAGGGCUGGUGUUGAAAGAUACAAAGGGUAAUUAUGAACCAGGAAAGCGGCACUGGCUGAAGGUGAAGAAGGACUACCUAAACGAGGGUGCCAUGGCUGACACGGCAGACCUGGUGGUGCUGGGAGCUUUCUAUGGACAAGGCAGUAAAGGUGGGAUGAUGUCCAUCUUCCUCAUGGGCUGCUAUGAUCCCAAGAGUGAGAAGUGGUGCACUGUGACCAAGUGUUCUGGUGGCCACGAUGAUGCCACCCUGGCACGUCUGCAAACAGAGCUAGAUAUGGUGAAGAUCAGCAAGGAUCCCAGUAAAAUUCCAAGGUGGCUAAAAAUUAACAAAACAUACUACCCAGACUUCAUUGUCCCAGAUCCAAAGAAAGCCCCAGUGUGGGAGAUCACAGGGGCUGAGUUCUCUAAAGCUGAAGCCCACACUGCAGAUGGGAUCUCCAUUCGCUUCCCUCGCUGCACCCGCAUUCGCGAUGACAAAGACUGGCAGACAGCCACCAACCUCCAGCAGCUUAAGGGACCCUGGCAGCAGACAGAAGCACUUGUUAUGCCAUCGAAGCAAGAAGGGAUUCUGGCUCCUUAUGCAGGUGAAGGAGAGAAAGGAGCUGUACCAACUCUCCAAAGAGAAGGCUGAUUUCAGUGUUGCUGCUGGGGAGGAAGAUGAGUCCACAGCUGGCAGCAGUGGAGAGAAUGAGGGAAAUUCCAGGUCUUCCACACCACACAGCACUAUUAAAACUCCCCCAAGCAAGUCACCUGCAAAAGCCCAGAAGCCAGAAGAGAGCAAAGCAGUCGUUGGAUCCCCUCAAAAAUCAGAAGAGAAACGAGGGGAGAAGAGGAAAGCGUCUGAGAUGGAAGACAAUGGCAAAAAGAUACUGCUGGACAUAUUCACUGGUGUGAAGCUCUAUCUAUCGCCCUCUGUGAAGGACUUUGACAAAAUCCAGCGGUACUUUAUAGCAUAUGAUGGGGACCUUGUGACAGAGUCUGAUGCAGCCUCAGCAACCCAUGUUAUAGGGGACAUCGAUGACAAUCCUGGUGCUAAGCGUGUGUCUCCCAAGUGGAUCUGGGAGUGCAUCCGGAAGCAGAGGCUGGUAGCCCCAUGCUAGCAAUGGGGGGCAGCUGAGCAGUCCCACACAAGAAGUCCCUGAAGGUAACAGCUGAGAAGUAGGCAGGUGGAAGAAAUGGUGAGAUUCCUCUGUGGAGACAUGGAUAGAAAUAAAGUGCCCAAGACCAUCAGCGGUAGUUCUAAAGAUCCAUAUGGAAUCAAUUAAAACAGCUCUCUGAGGAAGUGUCGCUGCUGAAUCCAUUUUUCUGCCCAUACUGCAGGCUGCUGCACUUACCCCGGUGCUGGUUUAGUCUCUGAGUUUUUAAAGUUUGGGUAUUUUUAUAGAUAAAUAAAACUGAAGCAGUUUCUCCUUUGCUGUCAGGACUCAUUUUCCAAAAGUUGCUCUCUGCCUGGCCAGGAACCCAGCCCAUCAGCUGUGUGAAACUACCAGCUGUGAAUUGCUGCAUGGCUACAAGUCACAUGAAGGAUGCGUGUCCUUCUCCUGCUUUGACUUUUCUUUCCUAACGCUCAGCACAGGUCUGUAUCUGGUGGCAGUUUACACCUCUGCUGCAGGUUUCAUACUAAAACUGGGGCACCAACUAAUCUUCCAUUACAGCAACUGCUGUAGCAUUCUCCAAGCAUCCCCUUGGAGUGUUUGUCUUCUAGAAUAUGCUGCUCAGGAGUUCUGCUGUUCAUGUUUCACCAAAUAAAAGCAGAGGAAGGAACUCUACCAUCUGGAUAGUUGAGAGACCUCCUUCUCUGAAGCUGUUCAAAACUACUGCAAGUACUUGAAUAUUAAUAAAUAAGAUGGGGUUUAGGAACAGGGGUUCAUUUUAACUAUUAUGCAAAUGCCACUGUGACUCUGCAUGAUGUACUCAUGACUCUGCAUGAGUAGGGUGGGUGCAUGUGUACAUGAUGGAAGGAAAAUCAAGUUGACCAGAUUACUGGUUCCCUUAGUCUCAAGGGCGUUCUCCCCUUUGUAAUCUCCACACCAUUAAGACUGCAUUGCUAAAAGUUAGUGUUUGUUUGUUACCUUUCUUCCUUCAACCUCUCCUGUACUUGUCCCCCACCCACUGAUGGUAUUUAAGCGCCUGCUCUCCCAACUUCCCUGGUUGAAGUGCAGAAGUAGCUGUAGGGUCUCUGCUUUCUCCUGGCCUGUUGGUAACAGUCAGAAAACAAGGUUAACUAAAUCACAGUUCAACUUUAUUAUAAAAUUAUAAACCAAGCUUCUGUACCAAAACUAGGAAGUUUCACCAUCAUAGUACCAAGAGGAUUUAACAUGCCAUUUCAAGUAGAAUAUUAACUUUUAAAAUAUUUAAAGUAUGUACAGUGUACGUAAAGCACAUAAAUAUUUCCAUUUAUUAGUUCAGAUCAUUAUAUUCCUUUGGAUCAUUAAUCAGUUUCCUCCAGAUUUUGAUUUUCCUUUAAAAACAACCCAUCCAUAAGUAGAGACUCGUUUUUGCAAGGGAAACACUGGAGCCAGGAGCCAAAAAAGGAACCUCCUCCCUUCAGAAAGCACGUUUCAGAGUCACAGGGCGGAUGUAUCUUCUCAUUCCUACAAUUUCAGGUAUUGAUCUGCAACUUGCUUUAUCUGCUGUAGAAAAUAAGCCUAUACCCUCUCCAAGUAAAAGUACAUCUGUCUGCAGGGGAAUCAUCUUUUUCCUGCUUCCCCCCAGCCCUGAGUUUAUGGAAAAAUAUGACAACAUGAAUUUUCACAGUGAGUUUAUGAAUGAGGCUGUUCAACACUUUGUAUGUGUAUUCCUGUACAUCUGAGAGAGCUCCCUGUGAACCUCCUGAAGAGUAAAUACAGUGACUGCUUACCUGCCCUUUCUUUCCUUUCUUUAACAUGAUGCAUGGAAUUGUGCCAGUGCUCAUCUCCUGCUGGAAGCUGUUAAAGAACCACCUGAACAGAGAAGGAGGUAAAACUCUGAAUUCUUAGUUCAAUAACCUCAGCACCCAUUGUAGGUCUGUGGUCAGAGACCACCUCAAUAUUGCUGCAGUUCUGCUACCAAGAGACAGAUGUCUUCAGCUUAAGUGCUUUGUUAACACUCAUAGAGACCCUCCACUCCAUGCCAGUUGAGAAACAAGUUGCUACUCACGCCAUACUCCAUGUUAAAGAUGACACAAGUUUAAUUCCCUGUUAAUUAAACUUGUUAAUUACCACUUACUGCAAAA